CAGAGCUCGCAACAAAAUACGUUACUCCAUUACCUUUUUUCUCCUCUCCCCUCCUUAUAAAGUGGAUUCUGUCGUUUCUUACGAGCGUCCGCUUCUCUAGGCUUCUCUCUGCAGAUCACACCUAGGGUUUCCAGAACCGCUCGGCUCAUAUAUGGCUGUUCUUCGAUCAUCAUCCGGCUCCUCCUCAUCAUCAAUUUACAGAAUUAUCCAACAAUAACCGGAUCGGUGCGGUGGAAUCGCGAUCAUGUUCGAAGCGCACGUUUUACACCUGCUUCGAAGAUAUUUGGGCGAAUACGUCCAUGGGCUCUCAGCAGAGGCCUUAAGAAUCAGUGUUUGGAAAGGGGAUGUUGUUCUCAGAGAUUUGAAACUGAAAGCAGAGGCACUAAAUUUGUUAAAACUUCCUGUCACAGUUAAAGCUGGUUUUGUUGGUACUAUAACAUUAAAGGUACCCUGGAAAAGUCUAGGCAAAGAACCUGUGAUUGUUCUCAUUGAUCGUGUCUUUGUUCUUGCUCAUCCUGCUCCUCAUGGAAGGACUCUUAAGGAGGAUGACAGAGAAAAACUUUUUGAAGCCAAAAUUCAGCAGAUUGAGGAAGCAGAGUCAGCAACCCUUGAAGGAAUAUCAAGAUCAAAGCUAGGAAGUCCACCUGCUGCAAAUUCAUGGCUGGGUUCUCUAAUUGCUACCAUAAUUGGAAAUCUUAAGAUUUCCAUUAGCAAUGUCCAUAUCAGAUAUGAGGAUUCUGUCAGUAAUCCAGGACAUCCAUUUUCUUCGGGUGUAACAUUAGCUAAGCUUGCUGCUGUUACCAUAGACGAGCAAGGGAAUGAAACCUUCGACACCAGUGGUGCCCUAGAUAAAUUGCGGAAGUUCUUGCAAGUUGAGAGGCUUGCUAUGUAUCAUGAUUCUAACAGUGAGCCUUGGAAGAUAGAAAAGAAGUGGGAAGAUCUCACUCCCAAAGAAUGGGUUGAGAUAUUUGAGGAUGGUAUUAAUGAACCUGCAACUGGUGGCGGAGUGGUGUCUAAAUGGGCUCAGAAUCGCAAUUAUUUGGUCUCACCAAUAAAUGGAAUCCUUAAGUAUCAUCGUCUUGGAAAGCAAGAAAGAAAUGAUCCGGAGAUUCCUUUUGAGAAGGCGUCUCUUAGCCUCAAUGAUGUUUCUUUGACAAUUACAGAGGCUCAAUAUCAUGAUUCAAUAAAAAUUUUGGAAAUUGUUUCACGAUACAAGACAUAUAUUGAAGUUUCUCAUUUGAGACCAGUGGCUUCAGUUAAGGAGUCUUGUUACUUGUGGUGGCGUUAUGCUGCUCAAGCUAGCCUGCAGCAGAAGAAGAUGUGCUAUCGAUUUUCGUGGGGCCGAAUUCGGCAUUUUUGUCACCUUCGUCGGCGUUAUGUUCAAUUGUAUGCUGGUUUUCUGCAACAGUCAUUAAGUGAUAGCUCUGAACUUAGAAAAAUUGAGAAAGAUCUUGAUUCCAAAGUAAUUCUUCUAUGGAGGCUACUUGCGCAUGCUAAAGUUGAAUCGGUGAAGUCAAAAGAAGCAGCUGAACGGAGGAGGCUUAAAAAGAGAAGCUGGUUUUCAUUUAGAGGGAGUUCUCCCUCAGGUGAUGUCUCUGUCACAGAUGCUUCCGAGGAACCACAGUUGACUGAAGGAAGACUGACCAAAGAAGAAUGGCAGGCGAUCAAUAAGUUACUGAGUUACCAGCCAGACGAGGAGUUGAAUUUGCCUUCUGGAAAGGACAUGCAGAAUAUGAUCCAGUUCUUGGUAAAUGUGUCAAUUGGUCAAGCUGCUGCCAGGAUCAUCAGUAUGAAUCAGACGGAGAUUGUUUGUGGUAGAUUUGAGCAACUUGAUGUGUCCACCAAGUUUAAACAUCGGAGCAUCCACUGUGAUGUGUCAUUGAAGUUCUAUGGCCUAAAUGCUCCUGAAGGUUCACUUGCACAGAGUGUGAGUAGCAAGCAGAAGGAGAAUGCAUUAGUUGCUAGUUUUGUACGCUCACCUGUUGGAGAGAAUGUGGACUGGAGGCUUUCAGCUACUAUUUCUCCCUGCCAUGCUACGGUUUUGGUGGAAAGUUAUGAUCGCUUUCUUGAGUUUGUGCAGAGGAGUAAGGUGGUUAGCCCUAUUUUUGCAUUGGAAACUGCAACUGCAUUGCAGAUGAAAAUUGAGAAAGUGACUCGUAGAGCUCAAGAGCAAUUUCAAAUGGUAUUAGAAGAACAAAGCAGAUUUGCUCUCGACAUUGAUUUGGAUGCUCCAAAAAUUAGAGUUCCUAUACGAACAUGUGGCUCAUCCAGAUGUGAUAGCCAUUUUCUUUUGGAUUUUGGACAUUUUACCUUGCACACCAAGGAAACUGAAUCCGAUGAACAGAGGCAGAGUCUAUACUCUCGGUUUUAUAUUUCUGGGAGAGAUAUUGCUGCUUUCUUCACAGAUUGUGGUUCUGAUUGUCAGAACUGCACCUUGGUUGCUCCAGCCUAUAAUAGUCGACCUACCAUAUCUCCUGCACUGAAAGAUUCUGAUGACUUCUGCUCUCUCGUUGAUAGGUGUGGAAUGGCAGUAAUUGUUGAUCAGAUCAAGGUACCUCAUCCAAGUUAUCCAUCAACACGUGUUUCUGUUCAAGUCCCAAAUCUUGGCAUUCAUUUUUCACCAGCAAGAUAUUACAGAUUGAUGGAAUUGUUAGACAUACUGUAUGGUACAAUGGAAAAGAGUAAUAAGUCUACCGUUGAAAAUUACCAAGCUGGACUUGCCCCUUGGAGUCUUGCAGAUCUUGCUACUGAUGCUAGAAUUCUUGUUUGGAGGGGAAUUGGCAAUUCCGUGGCUGCAUGGCAACCUUGUUUUCUCGUGUUGUCUAAUUUAUACCUUUAUAUUUUGGAAUCUGAAACAUCCCAGAGCUAUAUGCGGUGCUCAAGUAUGGCUGGUAAACAAGUAACUGAGGUCCCUUCUUCUAAUCUUGGUGGUUCACUGUUCUGCAUUGCUGUGAGUUUCAGAGGGAUGGACUUUCAGAAGGCUCUGGAAUCUUCUAGUACUUUGGUUAUAGAGUUUCGGGACGAAGAGGAGAAGACUACUUGGUUGAGAGGACUUACACAAGCAACAUAUCGAGCUUCUGCUCCCGCUUUGGUAGAUGUACUUGGAGAAUCAAGUGAUGGUGUGACUGAAUUUGGUGAUCCUCGGGCCUCAAAUUUGAAAAAAGCUGACCUUGUUAUUAAUGGGGCAUUGCUGGAAACAAAGUUAUUAAUAUAUGGGAAGGCAGAGUAUGAAGGGCAUGGGAAACUAGAAGAAAUUUUAAUACUUGAGAUUCUUGCUGGUGGAGGAAAGGUGCAUGUUGUUUGUUGGGAAGGUGACCUGACAGUCAAGAUGAAGCUUCAUUCCUUGAAAAUUAAAGAUGAGCUUCAGGGUCGUUUAUCUACAAGUUUGCAGUAUUUAGCCUGUUCUGUACAUGAGAAUGACCAUUUAUUUGCUUCCCCUAGAAACUUGGAUCCUUCUGUCAAAGAGCUGUCUACAGCACAACCAGAGGAGGAUGAUAUUUUCAAAGAUGCUUUGCAAGAUUUCAUGUCUCUUCCUGAUCAAGAAAGUAAUUUGCAACAUAUGGUUAUGCCCAAGUCUGCAUGGAUGGAGGAUGUCACUGACUUUGCUGAAGUUGAUUCUGCUGUAGCCUUAAUACAUGAAAUGGAUCUGGGGAAAGGAAAAGGCACUUCAAGUGAGACAUUUUUUGAGGCUCAGGAUAGCGACCACUCUGAUUUUGUGUCUGUUACCUUUUUGACAAGGAAUCCUGGUUCACCUGAUUAUGAUGGUGUAGAUACACAGAUGAGCAUUUGCAUGUCCAAACUGGAGUUCUUUUGCAACAGACCCACUAUUGUUGCCUUAAUUGAUUUUGGCUUGGAUCUAAGCUCGCGAAAUUCUGGUGGAAGUAGUACAAAUGCUACAAAGGUUUCAGAUGAUGAGUCUUCGCUUAACAAAGACAAGACAGAAGAAAGUGAGUGUGUCUUUGUUAAAGGGUUGCUGGGUUAUGGUAAAAGCCGUGUCAUCUUCUAUUUAAACAUGAACAUGGACAGUGUGACUGUGUUUCUUAACAAGGAGGAUGGUUCUCAGCUUGCAAUGCUUGUACAGGAAAGUUUCCUGUUGGAUCUUAAGGUUCAACCAACUUCUCUUUCCAUUGAUGGAACAUUAGGAAAUUUCAGGCUGCGUGAUAUGGCCUUUGAAAUAGAUCAUUCUUGGGGCUGGCUUUGUGAUAUACGCAAUCCAGGGGUCGAAUCCCUUAUCAAGUUCACAUUCAAUUCUUAUAGUGUUGAAGAUGAUGAUUACAAAGGAUAUGACUAUAGCCUGUGUGGUCGGCUGUCCGCAGUUCGUAUUGUUUUCCUAUAUAGAUUUGUUCAGGAGGUAACUGCAUACUUCAUGGGACUUGCUACCCCACAUACCGAAGAAGUAAUUAAACUUGUUGACAAAGUUGGAGAUUUGGAGUGGUUGAUUCAGAAAUAUGAGAUUGAUGGGGCAUCUGCCAUAAAGUUGGACCUCUCACUGGACACUCCAAUAAUCAUUGUUCCAAGGAAUUCAAUGAGCAAAGAUUUCAUUCAACUUGACCUGGGCCAGCUAGAGAUCAGAAAUGAAGUCAGUUGGCAUGGAAACCAAGAGAAAGAUCCUUCAGCUGUCCAUCUUGAUAUUCUUCAUGCCGAGAUCCUGGGACUCAACAUGUCUGUGGGAGUCAAUGGUUGUAUAGGUAAACCAAUGAUAAGGGAAGGCCAAGGACUUGAUGUUUAUGUCCGACGCAGUUUGAGGGAUGUUUUCAGGAAAAUCCCCACAUUUUCUCUUGAAGUGAAGGUGGGUUUAUUGCAUAUUGUGAUGUCUGAUAAAGAAUAUAGCAUCAUCUUGGAUUGUGCAUGCAUGAAUUUAUGCGAAGAGCCAAGGCUUCCUCCAAGUUUCCGUGGAAGCACCACAGUUUCUGAAGACACAAUGCGACUGCUGGUUGAUAAAGUUAACAUGAAUAGUCAUAUCUUCCUGUCACGUAAUGUCACUAUAGUGGGGGUUGAAGUUAACUAUGCGUUACUGGAGUUAUGUAAUGCCAUUCAUGAGGAGUCUCCUCUGGCUCAUGUUGCACUUGAAGGGCUUUGGGCGUCGUACAGGAUGACUUCAUUAUCAGAAACUGAUCUUUAUGUAACAAUUCCCAAAUUCUCUAUUCUGGAUACUCGCCUUGAUACAAAGCCUGAAAUGCGCCUGAUGCUUGGAUCUUCUACUGAUGCUUCCAACCAAGCUUCUACUGUAAAUAGAGGUGGGUUUUCGAUGACAAACUUGGAAUCUGCACCUGGCGCAGAAGUUGCAACUUCAACUAUGUUCUUGAUGGACUACAGAUUGCGAGUAUCAUCUCAAUCAUAUGUUAUUCGGCUUCAACAGCCACGGGUUCUUGUUGUGCCUGAUUUCCUUCUUGCUGUAGGAGAAUUUUUUGUGCCAGCUUUGGGAGCAAUAACAGGCAGGGAGGAAUUGAUGGACCCUAAGAAUGACCCUAUAAGUAGAAACAAGAGCAUAGUACUCUCUGAACCUGUUCACAAACAGAUAGAAGAUGUAGUGCACCUGUCCCCAAGUAGACAAUUAGUAGCAGAUGCUCUAGGGGUUAAUGAAUAUACAUAUGAUGGCUGUGGAAAAACUAUCUGUUUAAGUGCUGAAACAGAUUUGAAGGAAAUCUACUCAUCGAGAUCUCAAUCCAUUAUAAUCAUUGGUCGUGGUAAGAGGUUGCGGUUUGUAAAUGUAAAAAUUGAGAAUGGUUCCCUAUUGAGGAGAUACACAUACUUGAGUAAUGACAGCAGCUACUCAAUUUUGCGAGAAGAUGGUGUUGAGAUUUUGCUGCUGGAUGAAUCCUCAUAUGCUAAUGAUGAAAAGAGUCUAGACUAUAUGGAUGAAACAUCAGAUACGUCGGAUACUUCUGCAUACACUCGAAGUGAUUCAAGUAAGAUGCAGAGCUUCACUUUUGAAGCCCAGGUGGUAUCUCCUGAAUUCACCUUCUAUGAUGGUACAAAGUCCUACGUAGGUGAUUUUACACAUGGUGAAAAGCUUCUACGUGCAAAAAUGGAUUUGAGCUUCAUGUAUGCAUCAAAAGAAAAUGAUACCUGGAUUCGGGCUCUUAUGAAGGGUCUAACUCUUGAGGCUGGUUCAGGUCUUACUGUUCUUGAUCCAGUAGAUAUUUCAGGGGGAUAUACUUCUGUAAAAGAUAAAACAAAUAUAUCUCUCGUAGCAACAGAUAUAUGCAUCCAUCUUUCUCUUAGUGUCAUAUCUCUUGUACUUAACUUGCAAAAUCAGGCAACUGCAGCGCUACAAUUUGGAAAUGCCAAUCCCCUAGCUCCUUGUACCAACUUUGACCGAGUUUGGGUGUCCCCAAAAGAAAAUGGGCCCUGUGACAACCUUACCUUUUGGAGACCCCGAGCUCCUUCAAAUUAUGUUGUAUUGGGAGAUUGUGUGACAUCUAGCCCAAUACCUCCUUCUCAAGCAGUAAUGGCAGUAAGUAACACAUAUCAGCGUGUACGGAAGCCCCUUGGUUUCAAACUCAUUGGUUUAUUCUCGGGUAUCCAAGGAUUGGAAGCACGUGAAGAUAAUUAUGAUAUGGAUAGUGAUUGUUCUCUUUGGAUGCCAGUUGCACCACCAGGAUACUUAGCAUUGGGAUGUGUAGCGCAUGCAGGGGUCCAACCACCACCAAGUCACAUUGUUUAUUGUAUACGUUCUGAUCUUGUAACAUCCACAACAUAUUUAGAAUGUAUCUUCAAUGCCCCCUCAAACCCUCAGUUUUCAUCUGGAUUUAGCAUCUGGCGCGUGGACAAUGCUCUUGGAUCCUUUUAUGCCCAUCCUUCUGGAGAAUGCCCUCCCAAGAACAAUAGUUGUGAUCUUAGUCAGCUUGUUCAAUGGAAUUCUAACCGACAUCACUCUUCCACCAAAAUGUCUUCCUCUGAUAUGACCAUUGACCAUGAUUAUGGAAGUCAGCAAGCAAGUAACCAGAGUGCAACUUCAUCUGGAUGGGAGAUUCUCAGAUCAAUUUCAAGAGCAAAUAAUUGUUACAUGUCUACUCCAAAUUUCGAGAGAAUCUGGUGGGACAAGGGUAGUGAUCUCCGCCGACCAUUUUCCAUAUGGCGACCUAUAACACGUCCUGGUUAUGCUAUACUGGGUGAUUGCAUAACCGAAGGCUUAGAACCACCUGCUCUAGGUAUAAUUUUUAAGGCUGAUAAUCCUGAAAUCUCUGCAAAGCCUGUGCAGUUCACUAAAGUUGCCCACAUUGUGAGGAAAGGAGUUGAUGAAGUUUUCUUUUGGUACCCAAUUGCUCCCCCUGGUUAUGCUUCUCUUGGAUGCAUAGUCUCCAAAACAUAUGAAGCGCCCCAGAUGGAUUCAUUUUGCUGCCCGAGGAUGGAUCUUGUUAACCCAGCUAAUAUUCUUGAGGUGCCCAUUUCAAGAUCUUCAAGUUCAAAGGCAUCUCAGUGCUGGAGCAUUUGGAAAGUUGAAAACCAGGCCUGCACUUUCCUUGCACGCUCUGAUGCUAAAAAGCCAUCAAGCAGAUUGGCCUACACCAUAGGUGAUUCUGUAAAGCCAAAGACACGGGAGAACAUUACUGCUGAAAUGAAGUUAAGAUGCCUCUCCCUGACAGUUCUAGACAGCUUAUGUGGAAUGAUGACACCACUGUUUGACACGACAAUCACCAACAUUAAGCUUGCAACUCAUGGUCGACUGGAGGCAAUGAAUGCAGUACUAAUUUCUUCAAUCGCUGCAUCAACUUUUAACACACAAUUGGAAGCAUGGGAGCCACUUGUUGAGCCAUUUGAUGGGAUAUUUAAGUUUGAAACUUAUGAUACCAAUGCACAUCCACCAUCAAGACUUGGAAAGAGAGUGCGAAUUGCUGCUACCAGCAUCCUAAAUGUGAAUGUCAGUGCUGCAAAUCUUGAAGCUUUUGUAGAGACAGUUGUUUCAUGGAGAAGACAGAGAGAGCUUGAACAGAAGGCAACCAAGCUAAAUGAGGAAGCUGCUAGUCAUCAUAAACAUGGAGAUGGUUCAAAUUUUUCUGCAUUGGAUGAAGAUGAUUUUCAGACUGUUAUAAUAGAAAAUAAGCUUGGUUGUGAUAUGUAUCUGAAAAAGGUUGAACAAAAUUCAGAUUUAGUUGAACUGCUACAUCAUGAUGGCUCUGCUUCUGUAUGGAUUCCACCUCCAAGGUUUUCAGAUAGGUUAAAUGUUGCAGAUGAAUUUAGGGAGGCACGCUAUUAUGUUGCCAUACAGAUCUUGGAAGCUAAGGGUUUACCUAUUAUUGAUGAUGGUAACAGCCAUAAGUUCUUCUGUGCUUUGCGCCUUGUUGUUGAUAGCCAGGCAACAGAUCAGCAAAAGCUUUUCCCUCAGAGUGCAAGGACAAAAUGUGUCAAGCCUUUGGUUUCCAAAACUAAUGAUCUUGAUGAAGGCACUGCCAAGUGGAAUGAACUUUUCAUAUUUGAAGUUCCUCGAAAGGGGCUGGCUAGGUUGGAAGUGGAGGUGACAAACCUUGCAGCAAAAGCAGGAAAAGGUGAAGUCCUUGGUGCAUUUUCUAUUUCUAUUGAACAUGGUAAAAUCAUGCUGAAGAAAGUGGCUUCAGUGAGGAUGCUGCAUCAGCCACAUGAUAAUCACAAUAUUGUAUCAUAUCCACUGCAGAAAAGGGGUCAGCUUAGCAAUGAUGAAGACAUGUGUAACCUUGGAUGCUUGUUAGUUUCUACAUCUUAUUUUGAAAGUAAAAAAGUUGUAAACUUUCAAGAAGAUACAGAAAAUGAGAAUAGAGUUGAUAGAGAUGUUGGUUUCAGAGUGGGGCUUGGUCCAGAGGGUACAUGGGAGAGCUUUAGGUCAUUGCUUCCCCUGUCUGUGAUCCCCAAAACAUUAGAGGAUGAUUUUAUUGCUGUGGAAGUUGUCAUGAAAAAUGGCAAGAAGCAUGCAAUUUUCAGGAGUCUUGCAACAGUUGUUAAUGAUUCAGAUGUUAAAUUGGAUAUAUCCAUAUGUAGUAUGUCUAUGCCUCAUAGUCGUGAUCCCUCUUCAGAAACAAGAAGUCGUAACAUUGUGGUAGAAGAGGUCUUUCAGAACCAACGUUAUCAGUCAAUCUCUGGUUGGGGUAACAAGUGGCAUGGCUUUCCCACUAAUGAUCCAGGGCACUGGAGCACUAGGGACUUCUCAUAUUCAUCAAAAGAUUUCUUUGAACCUCCUCUUCCCCCUGGAUGGAAAUGGGCGUCAGGGUGGACUAUUGACAAACCCCAGUUCGUUGACGUUGAUGGCUGGGCCUAUGGGCCUGACUAUCACAGUUUGAAAUGGCCUCCAACCUCCCUAAAGUCAGGCACAAAAUCCGCUGUUGAUGUUGUCCGUCGAAGGCGUUGGAUUCGUACGAGGGAGCAAGUCACUGAACAAGGCACAAAUAACAUGAGUGUUUUCACAGUCAUAAAUCCUGGAUCUUCUUCUAUUUUACCAUGGAAAAGCAUGUCCAAGAAUUCUGAUCAUUGUUUACAAGUUCGGCCAUGUGUUAAUUAUUCCCAACCCUCAUACUCAUGGAGUCAAGCAGUUUCUGUAGGUUCUGACCAUGCCAUGAAACAAGGAAAUAAAAUGGCCGUUGUUACAUUCAAGUUGAAUGAACUUGAGAAGAAAGAUAUGCUUUUGUGUUGUCGUCCGGAUACUGGGAGCAAAUUAUUUUGGUUUAGUGUUGGAGCAGAUGCUUCAGUUCUCCAUACAGAACUAAAUUCUCCUGUCUAUGAUUGGAAAAUAUCUAUCAACUCUCCUCUAAAGUUGGAUAACCGACUUCCUUGUCCAGCUGAAUUCACGAUCUGGGAAAAAACAAAAGAAGGGAAUAGCCUUGAACGAGAACAUGGUAUAAUCUCUUCACGUAAGAGUGUACACAUAUAUUCGGCUGAUGUCCAGAGACCUAUAUAUCUUUCAUUGUUUGUUCAGGGUGGUUGGGUUUUGGAGAAGGACCCUAUUCUUGUUUUGGAUCUUUCAUCCAAUGAGCAUGUUGCAUCCUUUUGGAUGGUUCACCAACAAAGUAAAAGGAGAUUGCGUGUGCGCAUUGAACGUGACAUGGGAGAAUGCAGUGCUGCACCCAAAACCAUAAGAUUUUUUGUUCCAUACUGGAUCAGUAAUGAUUCAUCUCUAUCUUUGGCAUAUCAAGUUGUAGAAAUUGAACCAGUGGACAAUGCAGAUGUUGAUUCCCUUUUGCUCUCUAGAGCAGUUAGAUCUGCAAAAACAGCGCUGAAAAAUCCUAUGAACUCAAUGGAAAGGAGGCAUCCUGGUGGAAGGAAAAAUAUUCAAGUACUAGAAGUGAUCGAGGACACAAGUCCAACACCCAGCAUGCUUUCUCCUCAAGACUAUGCAGGUCGUAGUGGGGUUAAUCUGUUUCCAUCUCGAAAUGAAGCACAUCUGUCCCCAAGGGUUGGCAUUUCUGUUGCUAUUCGUCAUUCUGAAAAUUUCAGUCCUGGGAUUUCUCUUUUUGAGCUGGAAAACAAGGGAAGGGUUGAUGUCAAGGCAUUUUAUUCAGAUGGCUCUUACUACAAGCUUUCAGCACUAAUGAACAUGACCUCCGAUAGAACAAAGGUUGUUCAUUUCCAGCCACAUACCUUGUUCAUUAAUAGGGUUGGUUGCAGUCUCUGCUUGCAGCAGUGUUAUUCUCAGUCAGAGGAGUGGAUUCAUACCACUGAUCCUCCAAAAACCUUUGGAUGGCUGACCUCUGCCAAAGUUGAAUUGCUGAAGUUACGGUUGGAUGGUUACAAGUGGAGCUAUCCAUUUAGUAUCGAUACUGAAGGUGUGAUGUGCAUUUCCUUAAAGAAAGAUACUGGAAGUGAAAAAGCAAAUUUAAGAGUAGAAGUAAGAAGUGGAACAAAAAGCUCACACUAUGAAGUUAUUUUCCGUCCCAAUUCAUCAUCAAGCCCUUACAGGAUUGAAAACCAUUCAAUGUUUUUACCAAUUCGCUUUCGACAAGUGGAUGGUGCAAGUGAUUCCUGGAGGUCUCUUCCUCCUAAUGCAGCUGCUUCUUUUUUAUGGGAAGACGUUGGCAGAAAACGGUUGUUGGAACUCUUGGUGGAUGGGACUGACCUGAAGAAAUCAGAAAAGUACAAUAUUGAUGAGAUUUUUGAUCACCAACCCAUCCAUGUGUCAGGUGCACCUGUCAAAGCUUUACGUGUUACUAUUUUGAAGGAAGAGAAAAUGAAUGUAAUUAAGAUUAGUGACUGGAUGCCAGAAAAUGAACCUCUGGCAAUUACAAGUGAAAGACUUCCACCAUCUUUGUUACAGUUUUCUACAAGUGAUCAACAUCAAGAAUCGCUUUCCACCUGUGAAUUUCAUGUUAUUGUUGAGAUUGCUGAGCUUGGACUAUCGAUUAUUGACCAUACACCUGAGGAGAUAUUGUACCUGUCAGUGCAGAAUCUUCUUUUCUCACAUUCAUCGGGCUUGGGCUCUGGAAUCAGUAGGUUUAAAUUGAGAAUGCUUGGAAUUCAAGUGGAUAACCAGUUACCAUUAACUCCGAUGCCUGUUCUCUUUAGACCACAGAGAGUUGGAGAUGAGACAGAUUACAUCCUCAAAUUUUCCAUGACGCUGCAAUCAAAUGGGUCAUUGGAUUUAUGUGUCUAUCCAUAUAUUGGUUUCCAUGGACCUGAAAAUUCUGCCUUCUUGAUAAACAUUCAUGAACCAAUAAUUUGGCGCCUUCAUGAGAUGAUCCAGCAGGUUAAUCUCAAUAGAUUAUAUGAUUCUCAGACCACUGCUGUUUCGGUUGAUCCAAUCAUUCAAAUUGGAGUUCUUAACAUCUCGGAAGUCCGACUCAGAGUAUCGAUGGCUAUGUCACCAAGUCAACGGCCAAGAGGUGUACUUGGGUUUUGGUCAUCAUUGAUGACUGCAUUGGGGAACAUGGAAAAUAUGCCUAUCAGGAUAAAUCAAAGAUUUCAUGAGAAUGUAUGCAUGCGACAGAGUGCUCUUAUUAGUAAUGCUAUCUCAAACAUUCAAAAGGAUCUUCUUAGCCAGCCACUUCAACUGCUGUCUGGCGUUGAUAUACUGGGUAAUGCAAGCAGUGCUCUAGGACAUAUGAGCAAAGGUGUGGCAGCCUUAUCUAUGGAUAAGAAGUUCAUACAAAACAGGCAGAGACAGGAAAACAAAGGUGUAGAAGACAUUGGUGAUGUUAUCAGAGAGGGAGGUGGAGCACUAGCAAAAGGCCUUUUUAGAGGAGUCACUGGCAUUUUGACAAAGCCCCUUGAGGGUGCAAAAUCUUCUGGUGUGGAGGGCUUUGUUCAGGGUGUUGGAAAAGGGAUAAUAGGUGCAGCAGCACAACCUGUGAGUGGUGUUUUGGAUCUUUUGUCUAAAACCACCGAAGGUGCCAAUGCUGUGAGAAUGAAGAUAGCAUCUGCUAUAACUUCAGAAGAACAACUCCUCCGCAGGAGGCUCCCUCGUGUAAUUGGUGGUGAUAAUUUGCUUCACCCAUAUGAUGAAUACAAAGCUCAGGGACAGGUUAUAUUGCAGCUGGCAGAGUCAGGUUCAUUUUUUAGUCAGGUUGAUUUAUUUAAAGUACGUGGCAAGUUUGCACUGUCAGAUGCUUAUGAAGAUCAUUUUCUACUCCCGAAAGGAAAAAUCCUUGUGGUCACUCAUCGAAGGGUUAUACUAUUGCAACAACCCUCCAACAUUAUUGGUCAGAGGAAAUUUAGCCCUGCAAGAGAUCCAUGUUCGGUGUUGUGGGAAGUGCUGUGGGAUGCAUUAGUGACAAUGGAAUUGAUUCAUGGAAAAAAAGACCACCCAAAAGCACCACCUUCAUGUCUUAUUCUUUAUCUACAGACUAAAUCAACAGAGUCAAAGGAUCAAGCUCGUGUUAUAAAAUGCAGUCACGAAUCCCACCAGGCUCUUGAGGUUUAUUCUUCAAUUGAACGAGCAAUGGGCACUUAUGGACCAAAACAAUCAAAGGCAACACCGAAAAAGAAAGUUACAAAACCAUAUGCACCAACGGCAGAUGGCACCAGUGCUGAAAUGCUUCCAAAAGAAGGGACGGGCCAAUGGUCUCCCCAACAGAUGCCUGCAUCAGUUCUUCCAAGAUCAACUUUUGGCAGUGGCACAAAUUGAUUUGAGAAACACAUCAGUGUCCACACUGAGAUGUGGUCCAUAGCUCUCUCUCCAUAUUUUAAGUUUUCCAGGACUCGUAAAAUAUGUCUGAAAGGUUUUGGAGAUUGUAAGUACAGGAAGGUUGUUUUCUACAAGGGAUUUAUCAAAAGCCAUCCAAUGAACCUUCUGCACAAGUCUUUAGACAACAAUAACAACCAUUGCCUUUCAUAGUUUUGAACAAAACGGAUACCAUGCUUGUAUAUGCAUAUAUUAAUACGUUUGUAAAAUCUGAAGCUUGUAUAGCAUUUUGCUCUUACUUGUAUAGGACCAUAGCAUUCCUUUGUACAUGUAUUAUUUUGCAAAUCACAGAAAAUUUUGUCGGAA